AGACUCUUUCAUGAGGUUAAGAUGACAUAUUUAUGCAGAAACAGGUAUUUUCUUACACUGCUGCCUGAAAAACUGUGUGCAUUCAUGCUCAUGAUUCUUUCAUUAUUAUAUUCAUUGUUGUUAUCAGAUGAGAACAUGAAUAUUCAGAGGGGCUAAAUGACCUCCCCAAAGUAGGUCUUCCGGUUACAAACCCUGCUCCAAGCUGCCCUAAAGGAAAAGGGAAGCAGCAAUAGAUAAGUAAAGAGAAAUGGU